CUACGGGAGGCAGCAGUGGGGAAUCUUGCGCAAUGGGCGAAAGCCUGACGCAGCGACGCCGCGUGAGUGAUGAAGGCCUUAGGGUUGUAAAGCUCUGUGGAGAGGGACGAAUAAGGCAGGUUUAACAGACCUGUUGAUGACGGUACCUCUUUAGCAAGCACCGGCUAACUCUGUGCCAGCAGCCGCGGUAAGACAGAGGGUGCAAACGUUGUUCGGAUUUACUGGGCGUAAAGCGCGUGUAGGCGGCCAAGCAAGUCGGAUGUGAAAUCCCGGGGCUCAACCCCGGACGUGCAUUCGAAACUGCCUGGCUAGAAUCUCGGAGAGGGUAGCGGAAUUCUGGGUGUAGAGGUGAAAUUCGUAGAUAUCCAGAGGAACACCGGUGGCGAAGGCGGCUACCUGGACGAGUAUUGACGCUGAGACGCGAAAGUGUGGGGAGCAAACAGGAUUAGAUACCCUAGUAGUCC
rnacentral:rRNA from 1 species